UCGGAUUGUAGGCUGAAAUCGCCUACAUGAAGCUGGAGUUACUAGUAAUCGCAGAUCAGAAUGCUGCGGUGAAUGCGUUCCCGGGUCUUGUACACACCGCCCGUCACACCACGGAAGUUGGGGCGCCCGAAGCCACUUAGCUAACCCUUUUGGGAAGCGAGUGUCGAAGGUGAAAUCAAUAACUGGGGUGAAGUCGUAACAAGGUACC
rnacentral:rRNA from 1 species